rnacentral:rRNA from 1 species
UACGAAGGGGGCUAGCGUUGCUCGGAAUGACUGGGCGUAAAGGGCGCGUAGGCGGAUGGCACAGUCAGAUGUGAAAUUCCUGGGCUCAACCUGGGGACUGCGCUUGAGACGUGUGGGCUUGAGUGGGGAAGAGGGUCGUGGAAUUCCCAGUGUAGAGGUGAAAUUCGUAGAUAUUGGGAAGAACACCGGUGGCGAAGGCGGCGACCUGGUCCUUGACUGACGCUGAGGCGCGAAAGCGUGGGGAGCAAACAGG